AAAUUCUCCCUCUCUUCUAUUGCACAGUUAUAAAGUCAAAAAAUAAAGGAACCAUGGUGGUAGAUGUGGGUAUGUGUAGGGGAAAUGAGGUUUAUGAAGGGAUCCUACAUCCAUAUGACAAGUUGGUCAAUAGAAUCUUAAGAGCUGGAGAAGAAGAGAAAGGAGUUAUUUGCAGGAGAUAUUUAUAACUAUAGGACAAAGAGCAGAACACUUGCUUAUGAGAUGAUUCAUACGUAGACAUCUAUAUAUCAGUAUAAUUGGAGUGGA